rnacentral:rRNA from 1 species
UUCGCAAUGCCCGAAAGGGUGACGAAGCGACGCCGCGUGCGGGAAGAAGGCCUUCGGGUUGUAAACCGCUGUCGGGAGUUAAGAAAUGCAAGGGUGUUAACAGCAUCCUUGCUUGACUAAGGCUCCGGAGGAAGCCACGGCUAACUCUGUGCCAGCAGCCGCGGUAAUACAGAGGCGGCAAGCGUUGUUCGGAAUUAUUGGGCGUAAAGAGCACGUAGGCGGCUGUGUAAGUCGGUUGUGAAAGCCUUCCGCUCAACGGGAGAACGGCAUCCGAUACUGCAUGGCUUGAGUGCGGGAGGGGAGAGUGGAACUUCUGGUGGAGCGGUGAAAUGCGUAGAUAUCAGAAGGAACACCGGCGGCGAAGGCGACUCUCUGGCCCGUAACUGACGCUGAGUGUGCGAAAGCUAGGGGAGCAAGCGGGAUUAGAUACCCCGGUAGUCCUAGCCGUAAACGAUGGGCACUAAGUAGAGGGGUUUU